UACGUAGGGGGCAAGCGUUGUCCGGAAUCAUUGGGCGUAAAGCGCGUGUAGGCGGCCAGGUAAGUCCGUUCUGAAAGCCCGGGGCUCAACCCCGGGAGGCGGAUGGAUACUGCUUGGCUCGAGUCCGGAAGAGGCGAGUGGAAUUCCCGGUGUAGCGGUGAAAUGCGCAGAUAUCGGGAGGAACACCAAUGGCGAAGGCGGCACUCUGGGUCGGCCCUGACGCUGAGGCGCGAAAGCGUGGGGAGCGAACGGG
rnacentral:rRNA from 1 species